AUAAAUAAUAAAACAAAGCAUUAAAUAAUAAUUAAAGAACCUGAAUGAGUUAAACAAUAGUCUUGAACACUCCACCACAAGCCGGUAGGAUUUGUUCUUGGAUUCUUCAAUUAAACAACAAAUUAAAACGAAGGAAAUAAAAAUAGAUUCUAACGUAAGGUUAGAUCCGGUAAAAAGGUGCACAAUAGUUUCCGGUGUAGAAACUAUUGUGCGAAAAGAAUUAACUAAAUGCUAAAAAGGAAAAAGGAAAAUAGAAAUUGCAAGGGAAAUAGUGUAGAACUCGUAAAAAUAAUAAAGAAACAAUACUGCUUAAGUUGCUGGAAAAGAAAAUGUGCAAAAGCGAAAACGGCAAAGGAAAAAAUGUGGAAAAGCUUCGGAACCCUUUUUGGUUUUGCAAGUGGCUAUUUAUAUAUGCUUGAGUAACCGCUUCCGCUGCCAAAAAGGUCUUCAACGUGCAUAAAAGCAUGGCGUGGAUAUAGGGCUCAACACUCCCUCAACGCUCAACGUCUCUGAGGCGUUCCUUGCGCCAAAAAUGUAGGGGAAUGGUGUGACGUUCGUCACACCAUGUGUGACGUCCGUCACAGGAGUGUGCAAGGCGUGACGCUCGUCACGCCCUCUGUGACGUCCGUCACAUGCACGGCACCUGCGUUUUGUGCUUUGGGCUGGGCUUUGACAUUUGGUUCAUUUUCUCUCCUUUUUGCACCUCCUUUUCUUCCAUUUUUACUUGUGCUUCAAAAUAAGCCACCUGAGACAAAUAGGAAGAAAAUACCGCGUAAUAUCUAAUAAAAUGAAGUGAACUGAAAUAAAUAAUAAUAAAAUUUAAUUGAAUUAAGUCCUAAAAUAUGAUAUAAUUUCGUGUUAUCAAACUCCCCCAUACUUAGAUCUUUGCUUGUCCUCAAGCAAAAUUCAGUAUAGAACUCGUUAAAGGUUUUAGCCAGAUAAAAUUUCAAAACACACAUCAAUUCGUAAUAGGUUGCAAGUGGAUUUAGUUUAGAAGCAACUUGAGUUUAAUCUUGACAUCAACAACCACCGUCACAACCUAGAUAACCCUGCCUUAUGCAAAUCAGUUCAAGUACACUAUGAUAGCUAUCCUGGUUCCUUUACUCUUAUUUCACCCGUUUUCAUUCUAGCGAAAUCACAUUAAGCCCUUUAUCUUUUCGCGCACAUAGUGGAGUAACCGGUUAGUGAUUCUGAUCCCCUUUUUGCUAGAAGUUCUGGUACAUAAGUCGGAUAACUUCGUUAUUCAGUCCAUUGCAAAUUGCGGGGGAUCGGACCGUAGUCCGCCCUACCAAGUUCAGUACCAGAUACCUGCUGAACCAACUCAUAAUGGAUCUUUCAUAUUAUGCUUUUGUAUGAUCUGCAACCUUUAGAUUAAAUGAUCUGGUAAGGAUCACCUAACUUAAUUAGUGCAUUUCCUGAUAUAUAUAUAUUUUUUAUGUUACUUUGGGAAUCAUUCACUUAUAUUCAUCGGCUCUCCACGUAGUUUGCUAUUAAGAUGGUGCUGACUUCUCGUAUAAACUACUCGGGGUUACUAUAAAACUAAAAGUUCAAGGGAUUGGUAUAAUAGGUACUUAUCCUGAUCUAACAUGUUGAGGUUCUUAGAGCGUUGUUAUGGUAAUAAUUUUUGUCUUGAUUUCACUCAAGUUUUAUAAAAUAAGCGACCUUUAUACUUAUUGGGUGUGUUAAAUUUUUGUUAUGGCUCAAGAAAAUUGAGGGGAAUAGAUAAUAAGAAUUUUUCACACUAGGGACUUGACUUAAAAUAAAUAUAUAUUAUAAUAAUUUUUUUUUUCAUAAUAAGAAAGGGAAAUAACAAUGAAAGGGAAAAUAACAUACUUGAAAAGGGAAGGUUGAAAGAACAAGGUUUUCCCCCCCACACUUAAAUGAAACAUUGUCCCCAAUGUUUCAAAGAAAACAAAAGAAAAUGAAUAGAAAAAUGAAAGAAAAAGUCAAUGCUGCCUUCCGCCUCGUGUUCUGGGACCUGGUGAUCGUUGACGUACUCCUAAGUCGUCAAACCUGCUAAGCAACUCAGUGAACCGCUGGUCGGUUAUUGCAUUCCUUGCUUCCUGUUGUUGUUGCAUCUGGCGCAUCAGUUGCAUCACUUCGACAUUCUGCGCCUGCAUGGUAUCAAUGGCGUCCAUGAUAUCCUCAUUAGUUGCUGGCCUCCUUCUGCGACGACGUCGGGAGGAUGGAGGUGGAUCAAUAGGGUGUUCAUCUAAGUCAUAAAGUCAGCUAUUGUGGUUGUGAACACUCGUUCUCUCAUGGUUAGGCAAGGUAAAUAGUCGGGCCACUAAGGUGUUAUUCUCUUCCUUACCAAAUAAGGUGUGGGCUAGUAUUUUAUGAAAAUAUCGGAUAGCAGGGUUAUGGAUCUUUUGUGAGUGCAUCUCAUUCGGGUUUGGGUUGGGUUCUCCGGAUAUGCAACCCCAGAAGUCAUCGAGAUCAAUGUCAUCAAUAAGGUCCUCCUGGCGGGUAUUAAAGACGAAAGGGCCGCUAGGGAAUCCUAAGAGGUCAGCAAGGUCUCGACGGGUGUAGGUGAAGUCCAUGCUAAAUAACCUAAAGGAUAUUAACCCUUUGUUAAGUCCGUAACCAUGUUCAGGGAUGUAUACAAGGGAAAUCAGGAAUUCUAAGGUUAGCUCACGGUACGUGACAAACCGUCUCUUAAUGGCUGCGUUCUCCUACCCAAGCUGGUUAAACAUAAACAGGAAUGAUAUCUCAGAUGCCUAAUUUAUCCAUGGUCGGUCCAUAAUAUAUGGUCAGUGCCAUAUCCUUCUGGGCUAGAUAAUCAUACCGCCUUCUCUGAACACUGCCUCUGAAAAUGGUAUCUACUGGUUGCAUGAUGAAAGUCAGUAGCUCGAUGAAUUCAAGUAGAUACUGGCAUUAAGUCAGUAAUGGUUAUUAAAGAAAAAUACGGAUUGACUUUAUGAAAGGGAAGAAAAAAAAAUGGAUAGAGAGAAAAAUUGACAUUAAUAGAACUGGAAAUAUUCGCUAUGUUUUACGUCGAUAGCGCGGCGACUCAGGAGUGUAAGUACUCAUGGUGGUUCUUUCGAGGAUGAAUCCUCGGUCAAACUUUUAAUUAUCCUUGAUUUCCAUGGCCACUUAUCAAUCCAUCUCUCAUAUCCGUCACUUUUUCUUCUUUUUCUUCUGCGAGGUAGUUUAUCCUCCUGAACUUGUGGUGGUGGUUCUGGCUCUAUUCUGGGAGCUAGCUUUUCAGGUUUAGGUUCAAUUUUUGAAAACACCACCUCAAAGUCUGGUUUGCCCCUUUUUAUACUAAUUAGUUCCCUAAUUUCAUGGGCUUCAAAUUCUCUCUUCUUGUUCAGGGUGGCAGAUAAAGGUGCAUUGGUGUGGAUAUUUUCUGAUAGCUCCUCAUUUCUUUCGGAUUUGGGGUCUACCUUAACUUCCACAGACCUUCGCGGGAAAGGAAUUGGUGAUUUAUAGGGAGGAGGGACAACACAUAGCUCUUCCUUCUCUACCUUUUUGACAACCUCCCUUUCGGGUGGUGUUUGUGGAACUUUCUCAAUCUCUACUUUUUUCUCACCUGAACCCUCCUCAUUAUCACUAUCCUUAGGAUUUUCGGUAAAUCUUUCACUGGUGGUUGUUACCAUAUCCGCAUGUUUCUCAGGGAAAGGUCCUAGAGGUGUCUGCGCAAGUAGGGAGAUUUGAGUCUCCAAUGCCUCGUUGUGAGUGACGAGGGACUCGACCACAAUGUUCAGUUGCGUAAGGGUUUCAUUGGUAUAGAGACUUUGUUUUCUAAAUUCUUCAUUCUGAAGAGUUUGUGUAGCCACAAAGCGUUCCAUCAUAGAUUCUAUCCUUGAGUGAGUUUGCGUCUCAAUGAAAUCCUCCAUUAAUAUUUCCAGGUUGGAUUUAUAGGAAUCUUGCGAUUCCUCAAAAUACUGGGAGUGAUAAUCGUAGAGAAAGUUUGGGUGAUACAUAGUAAUAGAGAAAAAAAAAUUGCCUUAGUCUCUACAGCGUAACAGAAGAGUUACGAUAUCGACUAAAUAAAAGUCCCCGGCAACGGCGCCAAAAACUUGAUCGCGACUUUAUGAGUCGAAUUUGGGGUACAAACUGCAAGUGCACAGUUCUAUCGCGUAGUUUUAAAAGAUAUCGAUCCCACAGGGACUUAUGAAUCGAUAUACCGUUAUCUAAGGUUACUUCGUAAAGCUAAGGCGGAUAAUACUUUGAUUGUUUGGGGGAAAAGUUAAAACUAAAAUAAGAUCUAAAUUAAAUAUUAAUUAAGCGGAUAUCGGUAUGUAGUUCGUCGUAAUUAGGGAAUCAAUUCUUCGUUGGUUUCUUGGUUUUAAAAUAAAUCUUUUCAGUUGACACUAUUGAUUAAAAGUCUUAUCUCAAACUCUCGCUCUGUUGAAUAAACUAUGAUUUUAUAUUAACGUAGCUGUCACUUAUUAGUUAAGUCAAAAACCACUUUUUGAAAACAAUAGAAUCCGUAGAAACUCUUUUUAAGAAAACACUGACCGUUUAAACACCCUUAUCUCAAACUCUCGCUCUGUUGACUUAGGUUAUAUAAUUAAAUUCGAAUGCUUAACUCUCGUCCUCACAUUCAAUCUUUAAAAAUACUUUUUGGAAAAGAUCGGAAUUUAAUUAACUCUAAAACUUGCUCUCGCCCUGAUCUAGAAUUAAUGUCUAAUUUACACUGUCCAGUUAAAACCUCAAACUCUCGCUCUAUUGAUUUUAACUUCUUUAUGUCUUUUACUUUCGUAAAAACCUUUGUUAUUAAACCUGUAAAUUGAGACCGUAAAAAGAGUGAUUUUGAUUUUAAAUUUAGUUAAACCGACUUAGUUCUGAUCCCUUAUUCCGCUUACUUUACAUACCGAUAUCUAAGCGAAUUAGCCAGACAUGCUAAACAAACUAAAAUACUUAUCAUGCAUUAACAGACUCAUCCCAGGCAGAUAAUAUAAAUAAAUAAUAAGACAAAGCAUUAAAUAAUAAUUAAAGAACCUGAAUGAGUUAAACAAUAGUCUUGAACACUCCACCACAAGCCGGUAGGAUUUGUUCUUGGCUUCUUCAAUUAAACAACAAAUAAAAACGAAGGAAAUAAAAAACUAGAUUCUAACGUAAGGUUAGAUCCGGUAAAAAGGUGCACAAUGGUUUCCGGUGUAGAAACUAUUGUGCGAAAAGAAUUAACUAAAUGCUAAAAAGGAAAAAGGAAAUUGCAAGGGAAAUAGUGUAGAACUCGUAAAAAUAAUAAAGAAACAAUACUGCUUAAGUUGUUGGAAAAGAAAAUAUGCAAAAGCGAAAACGGCAAAGGAAAAAAUAUGGAAAAGCUUCGGAACCCUUUUUAGUUUUGCAAGUGGCUAUUUAUAUAUGCUUGAGUAACCGCUUCCGCUGCCAAAAAGGUCUUCAACGUGCAUAAAAGCAUGGCGUGGAUAUAGGGCUCAACACUCCCUCAACGCUCAACGUCUCUGAGG
rnacentral:lncRNA from 1 species